rnacentral:rRNA from 1 species
AGUGAACGCUGGCGGUAGGCCUAACACAUGCAAGUCGAACGGCAGCACAGUAAGAGCUUGCUCUUACGGGUGGCGAGUGGCGGACGGGUGAGGAAUACAUCGGAAUCUACUUUUUCGUGGGGGAUAACGUAGGGAAACUUACGCUAAUACCGCAUACGACCUACGGGUGAAAGCAGUGGAUCUUCUGACCUUGCGCGAUUGAAUGAGCCGAUGUCGGAUUAGCUAGUUGGCGGGGUAAAGGCCCACCAAGGCGACGAUCCGUAGCCGGUCUGAGAGGAUGGUCGGCCGCACUGGAACUUGGACACGGACCAGGCUCCUAAGGGAGGGCGCAGUCGGGAAUAUUAGACAAUGGGGGGAAGCAUUAUACGACCGUAGCGCGUGGGUGGAGAAGGCCUUCGGGUUGUAAAGACCUUUUGUUGGGAAAGAAAAGCAGCAGGUUAAUACCAAGCUGUUCUGACGGUAACCAAAGAAUAAGCACCGGCUAACUUCGUG